rnacentral:rRNA from 1 species
UGGGGAAUCAUGGUCAAUGGGCGAAAGCCUGAACCUGCGACGCCGCGUGAGUGAUGAAGGUCGUAAGAUCGUAAAACUCUUUUCAGGGAUCUUAAAGCCUGUCUGUCAACAACAGGCAGGUCUGACUCUCCCUGGAAGAAGCCCCAGCCAACUACGUGCCAGCAGCUGCGGUAAUACGUAGGGGGCGAGCGUUAUUCGGAAUUACUGGGCGUAAAGGGCGUGCAGGCGGGAGAGCAAGUCUGAUGUGAAAGCCCGGGGCUUAACCCCGGAAGGGCAUUGGAAACUGCUUUUCUUGAGUUCUGGAGAGGAAGGGAGAAUUCCCGGUGUAGAGGUGAAAUUCGUAGAUAUGCGGAGGAACACCAGUGGCGAAAGCGGCCUCCUGGCCCAUUUCUGACGCUCAGACACGAAAGCUAAGGUAGCAAACG